GAAUAUUUAGUUGCCGGUAGAUCUGUUCGGGAUUUAGUUGUUGAGCGAACCUUGUAUUGCAACGGAGAUUUGUUAGUGAACGUGUUAUCCCUGUGUAACAGUGUAAAUAAUUACUUUCUUUUAUUUGUUAAAUUCUGUUAAACUUGGGACUCCAACCAAUAUUUUAUAUUUUAUUCUGAAGGUCCACGGCGGAAGUUUGUGUUUGAAAGUUCAGAAGCAACCAAGCUUACGUUGUGGUAAGUCGCCGUUCUGUCCGCUUGUAAAUAAAGUUCACUUAUAAAUGCAAACCAUGUAAAGAACGAUGUUUAAAAUAUAGCAUAACAUGUAAAAUCUAAUGUUACAUGUUGUAAGGCGUUUUGUUGGUUUGUGUGUGAUGUUUGAGGAGUUCUUGAGCACGAGGUUUAUGUGACAUGUGCGCGCUAAUGCGGGCCUCCUCUUUUAUAGUUGUGUGUUGUCCCAUGUUGCAGCUAAUAAACCAGUCCAGUGCUCAACCCAACCUGUCUCCGUGGGUUCAAUUAAGAAGCAGAAGAGCUGCAGUGUACCCAAGGUCACAUCUGCUCUAUAAGGUGUCCGGCCGCCAUCCCCUAUUCACGUGGUUUUGUGUAUUGGAGAACCUGCUCAGCAAGCUGCAGUCUGCAACUUCUGCGGGAGGCAUGUACUGUUGCAUUUCAGCAAAAGCACAAGGGUGAAAGUCUUUGGUCCCCUUCAACUCCUGAGCAACAACAGCAGCAGUGGCAUCUUCCCCUUCUUUCCCCUAAGGCUGUAGCUGCUCCAAACAAAGUUUGAGGCCACAGAGCGCAACACCCUCCUCACACACUCCCCAGGAUUGGACCCCCCAACUAGGCUCAGAUGGGAAAUCUAAGGAAAUCAAACAACCAUGGUUAAGGCAAGUAUUUGCAUUGUAUUUUUCAUGUGGUGUUGGUGGUGUUUUCUUUUGAGGGGGGCGAACCAAAUUAAGGUAUUUGAAGAUGGACUGCUCAUCUCUAACUACUUAGCUAACAACAGGGAACUAAAGAUGAAAAAAGCUCAAUGGCAGGGCCAUGUGGCACACUUGGUGGCAUGUGUACAAUAUAGCCUAAAGUCACUUCACCAUUAUUCGUACAUUUACCAUUUUUUUUGUGAAAUCUCUAUUUUUAAGGUGCUCCUCGAGUUCCUGUAGUUCGGCCUGAGUUUGCGCCUGCAGUAACUCGACACUAGCUUCCCCAGGGUCCCCAUGUCGAUUUGCCCGUAGCAAUAAUAGAGCCUCUCUCUGAUUCUGCUCAACAGUCUCAAGCCUUCGGAGCAGAACCUCCAAUGUCGCUGUAAAAAAAAUAUGUUGAGAUCAGAGGAGUGUAUUUAGUAGUAUUUGGUGUCAUUUGCAUACAGUGCAAUACAGUUCAAUACAUGUAUUACCGUUGAUAUUCUUUGCCCAGAUUGGUAUGGUUUCUCUCUCUCUUCGGUCACCUAAGUAAUGUGUAUAAAGCAUAAUGUGUAGGGUUAGUAUAGACAGAUGACUGUCAUAACCUGUUGAUAAGAGUUACUAGUUUGGUUUUAACCACCCUCUCCACCCGCCACUUUACCGUCCCCAGUAGAGAUAGGCAAUGGCGUUUCAAAUGAAGACGCAAUCGAAUCAUCUGCAGGAAGUACAAAAUAAUAAUUCAAUGUUUUUUUUUUGGUUUCAAACUCUUUGUUGUCUUGGCUCAUAGAAUUACUGUUAUGUCAUCAUCAUUCGUCAUCAUUACCAUACAUAACUUUACCAUCAUUUUCUGUAAAAACGUCUCUUGCCGGUGAAGGAGGGGAGUAAUCUACAGAAAGAACAAGAUAAGAAUUUAGGUUAUGUGUUUUUGUUUCGAAACAUAGUGUCUUCUUGACUUCUAUGCAAUUAUUUGUAUUUGUUUUUAACCAUCAUUCCCUUGCAAAACUCUACCGUCAUCAGUCACAGGGGGUGAAGAUAUUUGUAGUGCGCUACGCCGUGGAAUGGGGGAUUCUAUCUGGGGUGGAGGAGGAAGGGAAGUCCUGAAAUAGGGACCUUGUCCUGCCUUUUUCCCAUUUCGUUUCUUUGUUUUCUUUUCACCUGAACAGAAUUAUAUUAGCCGAAAGUAAAUAACAGUGUUACAUGUUUACACAUUGUUUAGAAUUGCUGCUUGCACUUUUAACACUAAGUUAAUACAGUACACAAGGAUGUGCAGAUAUACCGGUGUGAAUAAAUUUUUGGGGUUUGACUAUGAUGCGCCUCCCUGUGUCCUCAUUUCCUGUCUCCACACAGGACUUUGUCUCCGCCCUCUUGUUCCUCCUGACGGCCUGAUCCCAAUCAUCUAAACAGUCAGGUGGGCCAAAACAAUUAGAAAUUACACUCUUUUAAAUGUGUUGCAUGUCACCACUUGUUAUUUGUCGCCCAUUAACACACCUGUUGAGGAAAAUAUUUUUAUUGGCCUUUUUAGCCAGGUUUUAGGAUCGGGCAAAUCUUUGUCCUUUGCCCUCUGUGUGGGCUUGUGGAGUGGCCAGUAGCUGCAUGUCUUCUGAAAUGGAAAACAAAAUAGUUUUGCAGAACUUGCAUAGAAUUUUUGAAAUGAUUGACAUAAAGGUUUUUCGCAUGUACUUACAUCUCCCUCUUUUAUAAUCCAAUUACUGGCCACUAUGCCAACAGUCCUUUCCCCCAAAAAUUCGACGAUGCUAUACAUUCUGUAAUCAAGAACAGAGAGGUUAAUUUAAUACAGUAAAGAAUAAUUGUGUCUGUACAAGAAAUUGCAAUGAUAAUACACUGAGCAAAAUACAACAUACUGCAAUGUCAUGAAGAAUGGCCAUGAAGAGGAUUUUUUCCCCCACAGGAAUCUUGAUUGCCUUUCUUUUCAGGUUGUCAUUUUGGAUCCAUCUCAAAACGGUGUCAUUGUUCUUGUACUUCAGUACUCCGAUUAAUGUGGAGUCACAAGGGACACUGAAAAGUGGUUCUGGGUGGUGGUAUACACGGCAAAGCUGGCUUCCGUCCCUCUCCUCUAUGACCUCGCAGCAUUCGCGGCGAUUCAAAAUAAAAGAAGAAUUGGACCUCUGCCUACCAUGCUCCAUUGACUGUCCAGCGCAUUCCUCAAGCCUUUUCACCACUUGUGACAGGGGGCAUCUUCCACUCCUUACCAUCCUCUUUAUUUUCUUGAGACAAUUUUCAAAUUUAAAAGCGCUACAAUUGUCCAAUCCUCCAAAGGUCACGGCAUCCUCCACAAUGUGCAACAUUGAGUGCACGUUGUAGACCAGAAACUGGUUACCAUAAAGUUCUCGGCCUCUCUCAACAAAGAAUCGGAGGAGAUCAGCAGCAUAUCUCCAGUGUUGCUCGACCAAUGCUGGACUUACAAGUAUGUUCAUUGCCACACUGAAUGUCAUGAAGUGGCUGAAAAAUUCAUCUUUAAGGACCCCCUUCAGCACAAUCUUUCCUGUAUAUAACAUAAACUGCCUAUGUUCCGUUGCCUUCCAUCUCUCAAGCUCUUUAAGAUCUCACGGUUUGCGAGCGAAGCUGGAA